rnacentral:misc_RNA from 1 species
GAUGAAGAACGUAGCGAAAUGCGAUACUUGGUGUGAAUUGCAGAAUCCCGUGAACCAUCGAGUCUUUGAACGCAAGUUGCGCCUGAAGCCAUUAGGCCGAGGGCACGCCUGCCUGGGCGUCACACGUCGUUGCCCCCCCAUCUACUCCUUCGGGAUUGCGGGGGGCGGAUGAUGGCCUCUCGUGCGCCUCGUCGCGCGGUUGGCCUAAAUGCCAAGUCCUCGGCGACGCACGCCACGACAAUCGGUGGUUGCGAAACCUCGGUUGCCUGUCGUGUGCGGUCGUCGCGCAUCGAGGGCUCGAAAAAAUUGCCGGGCUUCGGCUCGACUUUCAACGCGACCCCAGGUCAGGCGGGGUUACCCGCUGAAUUUAAGCAUAUCAAUAAGCGGAGGA